ACAGCCAGGGUGCAACCCUGCAGCGUGGGUGGGGUGAGGACCCCAGGCAGAGCCACGGUGGGCACCCAGCGGCCGAGCAGAGGUGUGGGAUGUGGGCAGCGUCUGCCCCACGUGCAGCCUGAGCUAUUCCAAACUCUGUACGAAAGAAAUGGGAUAAACAGAUGUCUGGCUGCCCGACAGGAAAGUGGGACACACGAGGAAUGAUAAAGUCUCCAAACCCUGCAGCGCCAUGCCAGCCUCAUUUCCCAGGGACACUUUUCCUGCAGCAUCUCUUUACCGACCGCCCUGCACUUUCUGCUGGUUUGUUGGUGACUCCGCGCGUUGCUGCGCCGUGCGAACAGCCCUGAUGUGGCAGAGGACACCUCAACGUGCACAGCAGCAAAAGUGUGCACACUCAGGCACACUGCGUGAGGAAACGACACUGAGCCAACUACCGGAGCGGUAACACUUCGUAUGGGAAAGUGUAAACCGAGCCAGGGGUCUGCUGGGGGAACGCUGCUCUGCGACGCUAAGGAGGAAACACAAACCCGAAACCCAACACCACCAACCCAUGUAGGUAACCAACCAACUACCAACGCGCAGAGCCAGCAAACGUGAAUUUGGGGACCUGGAAAUACACUCUGGUGGUGUCAGAGGACCGGUGCCCUCACAGAGCUUUUCCACACGCGCGCUUUCCUUCUGUGUUCUCUGCAAUGUGCUCAGCUGCUGAACGCUGCACUCUAGAGUUGCUUUAAAAGCACAUGGUGGGACACAGAGGACCGUCCCGAGCCCCCGCUCAGCCCCAUGUGUGUGCACAGCCCUGCAGCUCUGGCUGCUCUUUGCAAGGCUGCCAUACACGCCGUCCUCAUAAAAACAAAAUCUUGAAAAUUCCUAAUGUGGAAGGUGAUUAAAAUUCCUAUAAAAUUGUCAUAUCUUUAAAUUUAGAAGCACGGCAGAUUUUUCAUCAAUAAUUAAGAUCUCUAAAGCAUUUAUGCUAGGCAUAAAUGGAGUUUCAAUCUUCCUUAUUCAAAUAAACAUGAUAAAC
rnacentral:lncRNA from 7 species